GCACGGAAUUAGCCGGUGCUUCUUCUGCAGGUUAGGUCACACACUGGGUUAUUAAUCCAGUGCUUUUCAUCCCUGCCAAAAGUGCUUUACAACCCGCAGGCCUUCUUCACACACGCGGCAUUGCUGGAUCAGGGUUUCCCCCAUUGUCCAAUAUUCCCCA
rnacentral:rRNA from 1 species